CGGGUCAGAACAAACAGGCGGCAGAGCACCGGUCAUCGUCCGUGUUCUGUCAAUAAGUCGUGAGGUGACCAAGUUCAGCAAGAAGCAGAAAACAUGAGGAUCGGAUUCAGUGAUCACAGUAUGAUCAAUGGUGCUUCACGGUUCACAGCAGCAGCCUUUAUUCUUUUAGGACCCAGUUUAUUCAGGAAGAAGCAGAGCUCUAAUCUGCCGAGCGGUCAACGAACACGUGGUCUGACCUCAGAGCUCUUAAAUGGGGAGAGACGGAGGGUGAGACUCAGAAGGGGGAGGUCAGCGAGGAGAGAGGAUGAAAACCUCCCACUGAAGCCUGGUGUCACCUGAACCUGAACCAGAACCAGAACCUGAGCAACUGUUUGCUUCAGACGUCGGGCAUGCAGGGAGGAAGCGGCCUCCCAGAAGCUCAGCCUCUGGAGACGCUGCACACAGAGGCGGACUCGUUUCUGGCCGCAGCUCGGCUGGUUCGCAGGGGAUGGACGGAGGAAGAGGAGACGGUGGCU